rnacentral:lncRNA from 1 species
ACCACUAUCCGCAACAACAACAAUCACAACAGCAGCCACAUGAACACCAAUGACACCAUCAGCAGCACCAGCAACAGCAGCAGCAGCAACAGAAGCAGCAGCAGCAACAUCAAUAACAACAAUGAAAACAUUAACAACAGCAGCAGCAACAGCAGCAGCAACAGCAGCAGCAGCAACAACAGCAGCAGCAGCAGCAACAGCAGCAGCAGCAGCAACAGCAGCAGCAGCUGCUAAACCAACUGAAGAGAUUCUAUAGAAUCUCUUUGAUUUAGGUGAAAUAGCAGCUAAUUGUCCCUCAAAUUACACUGUUUUCGGCUUAAAACAAAAACAAAGAAAAAAAACAUGUAUCAAAUUUUGUAGGCGCAGAUACUCUAUAUCUAAAACCAAACGAGAUGGCCACGGUUGGAAUGCUUUUGGUCUAAACAACAACCUCUUCCUCAAUUUACUUCGCUUUGACCAACCACCUUUCUGUACAACAUGGUUCUAUCAACAACGACCCUCCUACUCCGAUACAAACUCUGUCUCACACCUCUCCUCUCAAUUCAUCCAUUUCUCCAGCUCUGCUUCUCUAUCAAUCUCACACAUUUACAAAUCAGUUCGCAACAUUACCAAGGCGAUACCGGUUCGAAUCGCCUCUGUAGCAACCACUGUGUACCAGGUCCCAAUCAACUUCCUCUCAUUCACCCUCUCUCUUUCUCUCUCUAUAUUAUUACACUAUUUUUUCUAUUCAUACAACUGUUCUCUUUUCUCCCAUAACACACCUCCCACCCUUUCAUUUUCUAUUCCUCAUCUUACUACUACUAAAACUAUAUUUCCUCCUCCUCCUCCUCAUCAUCAUCACCCUCCUCCUCCUACUCACCCUCCGACCACAACUACUUUCUCUUUCUGUCCUCCUCCUAUCUGCCCUUCUCCAUUCGCUUCACACCAGCAAACACAGCCUGUCUGUCAAACUACCGCUAUCUCCAGGUUUACUUCUCUUGGGUGGUCAUUAACGGGUUUACACAGACUCACAAAUACGCACAAACUCGCAUGAAUACGUAUACACACCGCAAUAUCUCCAUGUGCAUAGAUCUAUAUAUACAGGUGAAUAUAUAUAUAUAUAUAUAUAUUUUUAUAUAUAUUAAACAGGCGUAUGUCUAUACGCGCACGUGAUUAUAUAUAUAUAUAUGUAUGUGUGUGUGUGUAUUUAUGCUUAUGUAUAAUAUAAUAUAUACAUAUAUACGUUAAUAUAUAUGCAUGUCUAUAUGUAAGUAAUUUAUAUAUAUAUAUAUAUAUAUGUGUGUGUGUGUGUGUGUGUGCAUGUAUAUACGUAUGUACGCACAUAUGUAUACAUACAUAUUUACAAAUAUAUACAUACAUACUUACACACACACACCUAAAUGAUGUGUUAAAGAAUGUUAAAUACGCAUGGGAUAGAUAGUCACUAAGUUGUGCUUGAAUAAAUCCGAGACUUACACUUCAUCUCGUUCAUCAAGGGCAGGUAGCUCUGAUGCUGAAAGUAGUCUAUGAACAUGAUUAUCGUCAAACGCUAUGGAAACAGAAACAAUAGAUAAACAAUAGUAGACUUAAGAAGUUUAUUUAUAUUAAAAAGUGACGUCUGCAGAUAAGUGAAUGAUGUAAUUAAGUUUGUCUUUACAGCUGUUUCGUAUAAAAAUGACUGACGCCAUAACCUUGUAUAAAAUGUAAUGUAGUCUCAUAAUAGUGUUGGUAUGUAGACUCGCUUUUUGUCAGAGUAUUCUAAUGAUAAUAUAGCUUCACAUCAGAGGUGUCUCAAAAUAUCUGCUUGCCCAUAAAUUACAACAUUAUCCGAAACAGCCGUUAAGACUUUCUUACAUCAUUCAUUUAUUCGCAUACACAAGUUUUCAUGUGGAGAUACUUGUUUAGCCUACUUUGUUGAUCUCUCUCUCUCUCUCUCUCUCUCUCUCUCUCUCUCUCUAUAUAUAUAUAUAUAUAUAUAUAUAUAUAUUUAUAUAUAUUUAUACAUAUAUAUAUAUGCAUAUGUAUAUAUAUGUAUGUAUGUGCGUAUGCAUGUCUAUUGAGAAUAGUGUAUGAGCCGCACACAAGUGUACGAGUAGUUCAGACAUUUUCAAGAUGGCCUACAAAAUGUUGAUAUUGACGAAAGUUCUGGGUGACCCGCAACCAGCAGAACUGAGAAAAACACCGUAGAUGUGCGUGAAGCUAUGAGGGAAUAUUGUCGAAUCCCCCUCCGUGAGUUAUCAGAAGAUGUGCAGAUUAGUUACGGUUCAGUUCAGUCCAUUAUUACUGAAGAUGUCAUAAGAGGUGUGUCUGCCAAAUUUGUGCCAAAACUGCUUUCACCUGACAAAAUAAACACUCGGGUUUCAGUUGCACAAGAUCUUCUUGAUUGUGUCGAAAACGAUGAAAACGUUUUCGAAACGGUCAUAACGGGUGAUGAAUCGUGGGUAUGAUCCCGGAACAAAGGCUCACUCUUCGCAGUGGAAGACCCCAACCUCUCCGAGACCGAAAAAAACGCAAAUGAGUC